UACGGAGGGUGCAAGCGUUGUCCGGAUUUAUUGGGUUUAAAGGGUGCGUAGGUGGGUUUAUAAGUCUGGUUUGAAAGUUGGUCGCUUAACGAUCAAGGGUGGCUGGAUACUGUAGAUCUUGAAUGUUCUGGAGGUAGCCGGAAUGGGUUGUGUAGCGGUGAAAUGCAUAGAGAUGACCCGGAACACCGAUUGCGUAGGCAGGCUACUACGGAAUGAUUGACACUGAGGCACGAGAGCAUGGGGAGCAAACAGG
rnacentral:rRNA from 1 species